UACGUAGGGCGCAAGCGUUGUCCGGAAUUAUUGGGCGUAAAGAGCUCGUAGGCGGUUUGUCGCGUCUGUCGUGAAAGCCCACGGCUUAACCGUGGGUCUGCGGUGGAUACGGGCAGACUAGAGGCAGGUAGGGGAGAAUGGAAUUCCCGGUGUAGCGGUGAAAUGCGUAGAUAUCUGGAGGAACACCGGUGGCGAAGGCGGCAUCCUGGACCGGCAUUGACGCUGAGGAGCGAAAGCCAGGGGAGCAAACGGG
rnacentral:rRNA from 1 species